CUGAGGUCAGGAGUUUGAGACCAGCUUUACCAACAUGGCGAAACCUCGUCUCUACUAAAAAUACAAAAAAUUAGCUGGGCAUGGUGGUGUGUGCCUGUAAUCCCAGCCACUUGGGAGGCUGAGGCAAGAGAAUCGCUUGAACCUGGGUAGCGGAGGUUGCAGUGAGCUGAGAUGUUGCCAUUGCACUCCAGCCUGGGCAACAGAGCAACACUCUGUCUCAAAAAAAAGAAAAGAAAAAAGAUUUAAAAAAACCACAGCCAAAUAGCAAGAAGGAGUAUACUGAAUAUUCCCAACAACAAAAAAGAUGUUUGAAGUGGUGGUUAUACUAUUAAUAAUUACCCUGAUCUGCUGACUAUAUGUUAUGUGUACCAAAACAUCACUAUGUUCCCCACAAAUGCGUACAAUUUUUCUAUGUCAAUUUCAAAAAUAAAAUAUUUGUGAAAAAAAAGAACAUGAUAAGGCCAGGUGUGGUGGCUCACUCACGCCUGUAAUCCCAGCACUUUAGGAGACUGAGGCAGGUGGAUCACUUGAGCUCAGGAGUUCAAGACCAGCCUGGGCAACAUGAUGAAACCCUGUGUCUACAAAAAAUUAGCAGGAUACAGUGGCACAUGCCUGUAGUCCCAGCUACUUGGGAGGCUAAAGCAGGAGAAUUGCUUGAGCCCGGGAGGCAGAGGUUGCAGUGAGCCAAGAUCAUGCCACUGCACUUCAGAGCCUGGGUGACAGAGUAACACUCCCCCCACUGCCACCCCCCAAAAAAGAACAUAAUACAUAAAGAAUACAUGUAUAUUAUAGACAUUAGAGCAAAUCCUAAAAAAUAUAAAAACAAAGAGGUAUAACUAAUAAACCAUAGUAGAGAUAAAAUGGAAUCAUAAAAAACAAUUGUAAAGAAGAAAGGAAAAGGCCAGGCAUGGUGGCUCACGCCUGUAAUCCCGGCACUUUGAGAGGCUGAGGCAGGCAGAUCAUGAGGUCAGGAUAUCAAGACCAUCCUGGCCAACAUGGUGAAACCCCAUCCCUACUAAAAAUACAAAAAAUUAGCUGGCCAUGGUUGCGUGCACCUGUAAUCCCAUCUUGGGAGGCUGAGGCAGGAGAAUUGCUUGAAACCGGGAGUUGGAGGUUGAAGUGAGGCGAGAUCACCCCACUGCACUCCAGCCUGGUGACAAAGCAAGAUUCCACCUCAAAAAAAAAAAAAAAAAAAAAAAAAAGAAGGAACAAACAACAGUUAGGACAAAACAAAUGGCAAGCUAGUGGAACUAAAUCUAACCAUACUGAUACUUACUUGAGAUGUUAAUAAUCUAAACCAGGGAUCAGAAAACUUUAUCAAUAAAGGGCCAGAGUGUAAAUACAAGUUUUCUGGACCCACAGAGUCUCUGUCAAAUCAUUCAACCCCUUAGUUGUAGCAGAAAAGCAAUUUAAAACAUGUAAACAAAUGAGCAUUUGUUGUAUUCCAACAAAGCUUUAUAUAUAAAACAGGUGACAGGCUGGAUUUAUCCUGGGAACCAUAGUUUGCCAUUCCCUGACCUAAACACUCCAACUAAAGACAGAGAUUGUCAGAUUGUAUAAAAAUGUAAGAACACAGCCAGGCCUCAUGGCACGUGCCUGUAGUGCUAGCUACUGGGGAGGCUGAGGCACAAGGAUUGCUUGAGCCCAGGAGGUUGAGGCAGCAGUGAGUUGUGACUGCACCACUGCUGUCCAGCCUCGGUGACAGAGCAAAACCGUGUCUCAAAACAACAACAAUAACAGCAAAACACCAAACUAAAACUAUACAUUGUCUACAAGACACCCACUUUAAAUUUAAACACCUAGAUAGUUUAAAAGUAAAAAAAAUGAUGGGAAGAGCUAUACCAUGCAACCACCAAUCAUGGCUAUAUUAAUAUCAGACAAAGUAGACUUCAGAAUAAGGACUGUUACAAGGAACAAAGAGGGAAUUUUAUAAUGAUAAAUGGGAAAAACAAUCCUGAAUGUGUAAGUACAUGAUAACAGAGCUCCAAAAUGCACAGAUUAAAAACAGAUAAAACUGAAAAAGAUAUAGAGAAAUACACAAUUAUAGUUAGAUAUUUCAACACUCCCCUAUCACUGAUAGAACAAGUAGACACAAGACUAAUUUUAAAAGGAGAAAUAUUCUGUGAUUCCACUUUUGUGAGGUACUUAGAACAUUCACAUUUAUACAUACAGGAAAUAGAACAGUAGUCACCAGAGGUUAGGAGAUUGGGGAAAUGGGAAGUGUUGUUAGAAAGGCUUACAGUUUCACUUUUACAAAAUGAAAAGGGUUCUGGAGAUGGACGUUGGUUGUACAUUAUGAAUGUACUUAGUACUGACUGUACACUUAAAAAUAGUUAAGAUGGUUAAUUUUAUAUGUAUUUUACAAUAAAAAUUUUGAACAAAAUAUUAAUUGGUUUUUUGAGAAGAUCAAUAAAAUUGAUAAACCUCUAAGCAGACUGAUCGAAAGAGAGAGAGAACACACAAAUUGCCAAUGUCAGAAGUGAAAGUGUGGACAUCAAAACUACAGGCGUGAGCGACCACGCACGGCUGAUUGUGGGAGAUUUCAAUACACCUCUUUUAAUAACUGAGAGGUCAAGCACCCAGAAAAUAUAAAAGGAUACAGAGGAUCUUUACAUCAAAUUAACAAGCAUGAUAUGUUGAACAUGUGAGAAUUCUACACGCAGCAAUUAAAAGAAAGCACAGGAACACGUGAAUCCCCACCCCCACAAAAACACUGACAAUUCAGCAGUGCGUGAAGUAAGUCUGAACACACUUCCAGAAACUGGUCUCAUACUGACCAUGUAAAUAUUGACUAUAGUGCAAUUAAGGUUGAAUUCAGGAAUAAAAAAUGGGAAAAGAAUUUAAAUGCAAAACAUUUACAAAAGCUUAUGGGUUAAAAAUGGCAUCAUGCAAAUUAAAAAAUUCUUUUUCGGUUUUUUUGAGACAGAGUCUCGCUCUGUCACCCGUGC
rnacentral:lncRNA from 1 species